rnacentral:lncRNA from 1 species
UGGUGUCCUCAUCUUUGUAUUUCUCUUUUUGACUCAACCUGCAUAUGAUCCACUCUGGGGUUAUCGUCUCUUCACUGCAAAAUAAUUAUCGCCACACGACUUCAUCACCACCUACUUGUUUUCCCUUUGCUUUGCCCUUUUUUCCCCUUUCGUCAUCCUCUGCGUACCUACGUUCGGGGUAGGAGGGAACCCACAAUUGAGACUC